GGCCCCAGAUGAUCCUAGAGCUGCCCCCAAAGCCCUAAGCUACCCACACCCUGGCGUUUGCGUGCAAGAUGUAUGACCUCAAUACUCUUCUGUCGUUCAUAGAGACUUGGAAUCUUCAUGUUUAUGCCUCUUUAUCACAUUAUGUCAUUAUUGCAUCUUAAAUUUCUUGUCAUUCUGCUGGCUGAAAAGUGCAAUUUCCAACUUUUGAGACAGGCAAAGCUAAUGUGCCAAAUCCAAUUUUGGCGGGUCAUCCACUGCCAUCUAUCAACCAAGACCACACCAAGACCACACUGCAUUGGAGAUCAUUGCCAAUGAAGCUGUUGCUGAUGAGAGCGUUACUGGGAUGACCAUGUUCCCACGAGGAAGGCAGAUCUUUGGGGCUGCAUCUCGGGAAGAACAUUGAAGGGUUGCUGUCCCCAAGCAGUGUCUACCAGCACCCUCCCCAUUUCGUGACUCGGACGUUCACUCUGCCCUCCAUCUCAUGAACACUGUUCGAAACAUGCAGCUUCAGGACAGGCCCCAGCCUCCUCCCACACUGGUUGCCGGCCCUAAGCUGCGGCUGUUGGAAACACAGGUCUUAGGAACCACGAGGUCCAACCUUCGCAUUUUAAAGCCAAGAAAACUUGUCAGUCAGCUAGUAAUGGCAGAGCCAGAGCUAGAACUGCAGACUCCUAACACCUCAGUGACAACUAUUUCUACUAGAUUCCACUGCUUCUUGAGUCAGCAGAGUUGCGACUCCCGAGAAGCAAUCAGAUGCCGGUGCCCACACUUGUAAUUCUUCACACGGCAAUGAUUUGGGGAAGAUUGAGAACACAUGACAUCAUGAGUUUAUCCAAAUUACUUUGUUUGAAGAAAAAAACAUACUUGUGAUCUGCAAGACUUAAUGAAUGAGCUAAUACAGUGGAUGUUUCCUCAGGACAGCUGUAAGUAGGACAAAUAUUUGUCUACUACAGCGGUUGUGUAUUUGCUUUGACUUUGUCUUGGCAUAUUUUUUAAUGGAAUCUUCUUUCACUCUGA